GUGGGGAAUCUUGCGCAAUGGGCGAAAGCCUGACGCAGCCAUGCCGCGUGAAUGAUGAAGGUCUUAGGAUUGUAAAAUUCUUUCACCGGGGACGAUAAUGACGGUACCCGGAGAAGAAGCCCCGGCUAACUUCGUGCCAGCAGCCGCGGUAAUACGAAGGGGGCUAGCGUUGCUCGGAAUUACUGGGCGUAAAGGGCGCGUAGGCGGACAGUUUAGUCAGAGGUGAAAGCCCAGGGCUCAACCUUGGAAUUGCCUUUGAUACUGGCUGUCUUGAGUACGGGAGAGGUGAGUGGAACUCCGAGUGUAGAGGUGAAAUUCGUAGAUACUCGGAAGAACACCAGUGGCGAAGGCGACUCACUGGCCCGUUACUGACGCUGAGGCGCGAAAGCGUGGGGAGCAAACAGGAUUAGAUACCCGUGUAGUCC
rnacentral:rRNA from 1 species